rnacentral:lncRNA from 1 species
GAAACAUCAUCAAUGUUCCUUUAUCCUACAUUUCUUUUACAUAUUCCAGCCUCCAAAACAUGUGUCCUGCCUGGGCUUCUCUCAGCAAGACCAAGAGCAAAGUGACAAAGGCUAUGCCCAGCAUGGCUAGGCAAAGAUAAGUCAAAUCCAGGGUAGGAUAUGGAUCUACAAGCAAACUGUAGGAAGUCAAACAAAAGUGGAGAAAAAUACCUAGAUGAGGAGAGUACACCUCUGGCUAUGUCCUUGAGUGUUUCUGGAUAGGACGAACUAAGGGAAUACUGAAUAUGAAUGGCAGCAUUCUUUCCCUCGGACCCACAACCAAUGGAAGAGGAACAAGGAAGAAGUUUGCUAUUAUAGUCAUAUAAUCUGUGCUUCCUGGUCACCAUGAUGUGCACUUUCUAAUCUGACUCAGCCUACCAUGUCAGAAUGAGACUCCAAAACUG